rnacentral:rRNA from 1 species
UGGGGAAUCUUCCGCAAUGGACGAAAGUCUGACGGAGCAACGCCGCGUGAGUGAUGACGGUCUUCGGUUUGUAAAUCUCUGUUAAUCGGGACGAAUGGUUUGUGUGCAAAUAGUGCAUAGACAUGACGGUACCGGAAUAGAAAGCCACGGCUAACUACGUGCCAGCAGCCGCGGUAAUACGUAGGUGGCAAGCGUUGUCCGGAAUUAUUGGGCGUAAAGCGCGCGCAGGCGGACUAGCCAGUCAGUCUUAAAAGUUCGGGGCUUAACCCCGUGAUGGGAUUGAAACUACUAGUCUAGAGUAUCGGAGAGGAAAGUGGAAUUCCUAGUGUAGCGGUGAAAUGCGUAGAUAUUAGGAAGAACACCAGUGGCGAAGGCGACUUUCUGGACGAACACUGACGCUGAGGCGCGAAAGACAGGGGAGCGAACGGG